UCAAACUUGGUCAUUUAGAGGAAGUAAAAGUCGUAACAAGGUCUCCGUUGGUGAACCAGCGGAGGGAUCAUUAAAGAGUUCUAUAACUCCCAAACCCAUGUGAACAUACCUAACGUUGCCUCGGCAGGUCUCGUCUACCUUGUAGCACCCUACCCUGUAAGGUCUACCUGGGAGAUGCGGAUAAGCCUGCCGGCGGCCCACUAAACUCUGUUUGAUAUUGAAUUCUGAAUAUAUAACUAAAUAAGUUAAAACUUUCAACAACGGAUCUCUUGGUUCUGGCAUCGAUGAAGAACGCAGC
rnacentral:misc_RNA from 1 species